GGUCUGGCAGAGCCGGGGGGGAGGUAGGGUGAAGAAAACGAUUAGCAACGUGCGACCCUGAGACUGAGGCUGCACAACACCCACAAAGCAAUCGAGCUGAAAACUUAAAGGAAGCUAGCAACGCGUUUCUGUUAAAGGUGCAGAUAGUUCUGUGAACACCCAUCCGGUCGGUGACUGUGUGCAAUAGCGGCACGAGUACUCCCCCUGCUGUCCGUGUGUGGUGGUGCGGGUGAGGUUGAAGGUGCAGCUCUGGUCUCCUCCCGGCACGCCCUGCUCCAGCACCGCCUCGCGGUCCCGGUAAAGAAUAAACGAGCCAGGGCUCUGAUAGGAGCUGCUGAGGCUGCACUGCAGAGUCACAUCCGCUCCUCUCCCAGACACAGAGCUGUUCACAGACAGAGUGGGAGGAGCUAGGAGAGAGACGCAACACAGAUGGAGAAAGAUGUCUUUGCGUCGCAUUUCACCGGACCACCGGCACUGAAGAGACAGUUCACCCGAUUUCACAAGAUUCACUGUUAGGUUAGGUUUCAUUGAGGAAUCUGGACAAAGAAAGCA